GCUGCAAACUCUGAUGGCGACCGGCGCACGGGUGAGUAACGCGUAUCCAACCUUCCCUAUAGUAGAGGAUAGCCCGGCGAAAGUCGGAUUAAUACUCUAUGUUUUCCGUGCAGACAUCUAAGAUGGAACAAAGGCUUGCCGCUAUAGGAUGGGGAUGCGUCUGAUUAGGUAGUCGGCGGGGUAACGGCCCACCGAGCCAUCGAUCAGUAGGGGUUCUGAGAGGAAGGUCCCCCACAUUGGAACUGAGACACGGUCCAAACUCCUACGGGAGGCAGCAGUGAGGAAUAUUGGUCAAUGGGCGAGAGCCUGAACCAGCCAAGUAGCGUGCAGGACGACGGCCCUAUGGGUUGUAAACUGCUUUUAUGCGGGGAUAAAGUUCACUACGUGUAGUGUUUUGUAGGUACCGCAUGAAUAAGGACCGGCUAGUUCCGUGCCAGCAGCAGC
rnacentral:rRNA from 1 species